rnacentral:tRNA from 1 species
UGUAACUUAGUUUAUAAUAGAAUAGCUAAUUUGCAAUUAGCUGGAGGAAGUAUUCAGUUGCA